AAAGCAGCGGGGAUUCUGCCUUCGUGUGCUGUUUGACGUCGACCUCAAGCAUUUCUCCACAGGAGCAUAUGGCACAUUAACUGCAGAUUGCCUCCGGCAGUGAUCACAUAGUCAUACUCACGGUUAAGGGCAACAUGCAGACCAUGGGAUGCGGAGAGCAAGGACAGCUGGGACGAGUGCCUAUGCGAACCACCUUGCACCGAGCAUGCUGAACUUCACUAGACCUGCUUAAGCCCACCAAUGUCUACAUACUGAAACCCUGUGUAUGCAAAGCAGCGGGGAUUCUGCCUUCGUGUGCUGUUUGACGUCGAGCUCAAGCAUUUCUCCACAGGAGCAUAUGGCACAUUAACUGCAGGGCAACAUGCAGACCAUGGGAUGCGGAGAGCAAGGACAGCUGGGACGAGUGCCUAUGCGAACCACCUUGCACCGAGCAUGCUGAACUUCACUAGACCUGCUUAAGCCCACCAAUGUCUACAUACUGAAACCAUGUGUAUGCAAAGCAGCGGGGAUUCUGCCUUCGUGUGCUGUUUGACGUCGAGCUCAAGCACUUCUCCACAGGGGCAUUUGCCACAUAAACUGCAGUAUGCAAAGCAGCGGGGAUUCUGCCUUCGUGUGCUGUUUGACGUCGAGCUGAAGCACUUCUCCACAGGAGCAUUUGCCACAUAAACUGCCGGGAACAAUGAAACACACGAGGACUACAUUGCAUGCAUCAGCCUUCUCGAGGGAGGCGGCGCCUGGUCACGGAGUGUGUUUUUCAUGUCCACAUGCAGUGCUUGUCGUACAAGCUGACGCACCUGUACUUCAACUGCCCCGGCACCAUCCGCGUGCCGGCACCCUGCCAGUACGCCUACAAGCUGACUUUCCUGGCCGGCCAGUCGCUGCACGGCGAGCACAGCCUCCACCUGGCAUCCACCCUGUUUUACCUGUAAUGGGCUUUGAAUUUUUUUAAUGUUAGUUAUUUAACUUUUAAAAUUGUGUUUAUUUGUAUUUAGUUCUUGCUUCUUAAAUACGAACCCUUUCUCUGUACAUCAUUGCACGGGUCUCGCCCACACAUUCUGUUUUCUCCUGCUUACCAUUCACUUUUAUUCUGCUUCGUAUAGUCAACGAAGCAUGUAUUUCAACUCCAUCAAUAAAUUUUGUUUUAGCAAGCGGAUUUUUGUGUCCUGCCCACGUAGGUAGCACACCUGAGCAAGUGGUGCUAGAUGCUGGCAACAUUCACAAGUGUUCCUAUCAUAGCUUUCUGCAAAAAUUUUUUAUCACGCUGCGACCCAUCGCCGGCAUUGGGAAUGAUGGUUGUUCUAGUAUUUACCAUCUGUCCGAAGCGCCUCGUUUAUGUAGUAUGAGGGAUAACGCGGCGCGCUCCUCAUAGGUUUGCCUGUCGGCGCUCAAUAAAAACACCACGCGGAAGCCCUCAUGGCCAUUUCUGUAAGUACUAGUACUCUCCAAACGGGUAAAGUUGCUUACUGUGAAAAUAUUAUUGGGCAAACAGAAAGUACAGAAUAGUUUACAGGUGUCCUGUACCGGGCGACAACCAGCAGAGCGCAACGCCUUACACUGACAGUCACCGUUGAAGAGUAGCAAUUUGCAUACCGACGCAAUCGGGUGACGCAGGCAUCUGCUGCCGCACCCAACACAGCAAUAUGCACUAUACCUGCGUUUUAGCAUUAAUUAAUACAUGUAACCUGGGACUGUACUAAGCACCCUCAUAGGCCAACUAAUAAUAUCUUAGUGGAGCAGUGGGGGGCACAGCUCACCCGUUCCGACUUGGCAGGACAAAAGUCCUUAAUUAGCCAGGUCAGGCAGGCGGCAGAGGCCAGUGGGGCCCUGGACUGAGGGGCUCGAUCGGACCACCG